GGAUGGACUGAGUGGCGAAAGGGGCAGUAAUGCGUGGGUAACCUACCCUGGGGAUGGGCAUAGCCGGUCUAACGGCCGGGUAAUUCCCAGCGAUUCGGCGAGGAGGCAUCUCUUUGCCGGGAAAUGAGUUUCGCCUCGGGAGGGGCUCACGUCGUAUUAGCUAGUUGGUGGGGUAACGGCCUACCAAGGCAAAGAUGCGUAGCGGGUGUGAGAGCACGACCCGCGCCACUGGCACUGAGACACUGGCCAGACACCUACGGGUGGCUGCAGUCGAGAAUCUUCGGCAAUGGGCGCAAGCCUGACCGAGCGACGCCGCGUGUGCGAUGAAGGCCUUCGGGUUGUAAAGCACUGUCGAGGGGGAUCAAAGCGCAAGCUUGAGAGAUCCCUGGAGGAAGCACGGGCUAAGUUCGUGCCAGCAGCCGCGGUAAGACGAACCGUGCGAACGUU
rnacentral:rRNA from 1 species